rnacentral:tRNA from 1 species
GAGGGUACAGCUCAGUGAUAGAGGGCUUGCUUAGCAUGCACAAGGUCCUGGGUUCAAUCCCCAGUACCUCCA